AAGACCACUGAAAAUAUUGAGAGAGAGAAGGAGGAGGCUAUCGGUGAAUGCAUUUUUCCCCCCAGUGUGCUGUGGAAGAUGAUGGCUUACUGCUACUGCAAGAAAGCAUGGAGCUGACUUAAGAAAAACUGUAACGUAUAAAUUAUGUAUUCAGAAAGGAGCACUUAUUUAAAGAGCACCUGAAGAAUUUUUCCAUCACAAAAGGCUGUCAGCAUGUCAUUUCCUUCCCAGUGUUGGUGGGUUUGCAAGAAGAGUUACAGUUGCUCAUUCUAAUGAGGGAUAAAGGUACCUGUAGGAGCAAAACAACUCAGAAAAUGAUUUCAGGUCAUCGGGCUGGAUCUGCUCGAAUUUCCUGUGCUAAACAGGACGAGACUGGACCUACCUUUAAUCUACUUGGGUCUUCAGACUUUUUGCUGUUGCCUAUAAAUGCUGUCCUAUGUGUGCCAGUGAGUUCCUACGGCAAAUCAGAGUCCUUGACUAGCAUCAUCCAAAUACACCUCAGCAAUUUCUCUGAUGUGACAGAGCUGACAUGGGACCUAUUAUGAUAAUUCUAUACUGUGAAAGUCCUUGGCGAGUACACUACUGGCAAAGAUGGUUUUGGAAUGGCCUUAUACAGUGGAAAUAAGAUGCAGUAGCUUUUGGUGCUACUGCACAUCACACACUAAUUAUUAUGGGUUGUCAUCCACAUGCAGAAAGUGGUACUGUUUCCCUCUUAAAUAAUCUAUAAAUCUGCAGUUCAUGGCCUAUCCGCACUUAAAAAAAUGACACAGUGCUGACAGCAGAAAAUCACAAACAUCUCAAGGAGGACAUUUCUGGUGUGUGCUUUUGAAGGACAUAGGGAUUUUAGCAAUGAUGCAAGCAGCUCCUGCAUUUUUUUCUUGUUUUUAACCAGACUUGCUUGUUCUCAGGAAAGUAUUGUGUGGGAAAUGCACAGAGAUGUGCAAAUGAUUUAGCUUAAUGAAGCUGACAUGCUGCAAAACUUAUGCAGGCUGACGUCACAAGACUCGCUACAUGAGAUAGAAUCGCAUAGCUAUUACUAUGUAAAACUGCUAUGAGGCAAAGUCAUUUAUCCAAGACUUUCCAGUAAACAAGAGAAGUUCAGAGCUUUGUGGCCUACUAUUGCUAUCUAACUAGAAGGUAAAGAUGAAAACUACCAUCUAUUUCACUUGCUGAUCUGCUGCGAGAUUACUCCACGUCUGACAGUGCAGAGUUAUUAUGGGAAGGGAAGUCUGUGAGAAAUUGAAUUCCUCAUACUAGUUUUUAUUAGUAGCAAUCCAGGAGAACAGAGACAAACAUAUUCAGCUGCAGAAAUCUCAACCACAGUCAGAUGAUGAAUGUUAGGUCUAAUCUAGCCCUAACAUUACCCUACUUUGCAAUCAACUAGAAUGAAAAAAUGAAAGGGAGGCAAAAUACUACGCUGAUCACUGUCUGAGAUUAUGUUAUAUGGGGAUGGAGAUGAAGUAUCUGCCGUAUUUGGGACUUUUAUUCUUCAAGCCUUACGUGCUCCUGUGGUGUCUG
rnacentral:lncRNA from 7 species